rnacentral:lncRNA from 1 species
GUAAGUUUGAUGUAAUUUUACUUCACGUUCAUUCGGAUCUGUUAUUACAUCAUCAUAUCGUUCUUCUGUGUAUGAUCUGUCAUGUUGUCUGUCUUGUUGUUGUUCAAUAACUUCCAUGGCAAGCUGAUCAGCAUAUUGCGUUCCAAUUUGGCAAUCUUGUGUUGCUAGUGGAACUAGUGCUGAAUUCCAUUGUGUUGAUCUGAUUGGCGUUACAUCAUGAAUUAUAGUUUCUUCUACAUUUAUCA